CGAGCGCAGCGAGAGAACGUUGCGUCAGCAACGGCCCGCAGGGCGAGCCACGCAGUGGCGAGUCAUCCUCUAUCACCAGCA
rnacentral:sRNA from 2 species